rnacentral:rRNA from 1 species
AACGAACGCUGGCGGCGUGCUUAACACAUGCAAGUCGAACGGAAAGGCCCUGCUUUUUUGGGGUUCUCGAGUGGCGAACGGGUGCGUAACACGUGAGUAACCUGCCCUUGACUUUGGGAUAACUUCAGGAAACUGGGGCUAAUCCCGUAUAGGAGCUCCUGCUGCAUUGUGGGCGUUGGAAAGUUUCGGCGGUUGGGGAUGGACGCGCGGCUUAUCAACUUGUUGGUUGGGUAGUUGCUUACCCAGGCGUUGACGGGUAGCCGGCCUGAGAGGGGGAACGGCCACAAUGGGACUGAGAUACGGCGCAGACUCCUAUGGGAGGCAGCAGGGGGGAGUAUUGCACAAUGGGCGGGAGCCUGAGGCAGCAACGCCGCGUGCGGGAUGACGGCCUUCGGGUUGUAAACCGCUUUCGCCUGUGACGAAGCGGGAGUGACGGUAAUGGGUAAAGAAGCACCGGCUAACUACGUG